GCAGAGGAGCAGACGUUCGCCGGAUGGAAACAUCUGGAGGAAAGUCCGGGCUCCACAGGGCACGGUGGUGGGUAACGCCCACCGUCCGCGAGGAUCGGGAAAGUGCAACAGAAAGCAAACCGCCGAACGGCAGUUUCGACUGCGCGUGGUAAGGGUGAAACGGUGCGGUAAGAGCGCACCAGCAGUCCGGGUGACCGGCUGGCUGGGUAAACCCCAUCGGGAGCAAGGCCAAGCAGACGGAACGGUUGCCUCGGUAACCUCGAACCGGUCCGGUUCGCAACACCGUCGGGUAGGCUGCUAGAGACGCAGAGCAAUCGGCGUCCCAGAGAAAUGAACGUCCUCGACAAAACCCGGCUUAUCGUUCCUCUGCCAAC
rnacentral:RNase_P_RNA from 1 species